UGGUGCCCUGGCGGCCAUCGCUGGAGGCCGCGGUUGCUAUGGGAGACCUGGCGCCCGGCCUGGGAGCGACAGGAAGGCGAGCUGUGGCCGCGACGCCUUCCGAGAAAGCAGGUCGCUCUCGGAACGGACGUUUGUGUGUGGUUUCUGUGGAAGAUCCGCUCCGCGGCGGCGUGGGAGGAGCAGGGCCUGGAGGGGUUGCGGCCAAACGCGGGCUUCGGUGUUGGGACACGGACAACGCUGGCGUCCGGGCGCUGCUGGGCAGCGGGGUCCGGGGAUGACGUCUGGGGCUGCCCGUGCCCACUUUUCCAGAUUGCUCUGAAUGUCCUAGUGAGCUGCUCCCGUUGGGAAAAUAGGGACUCAAGGCCGGUGCGGUGGCUCACCCCUCUAAUCCCAGCACUUUGGGGGACAGAGACCGGAAGAGCGAUUAAGCCCAGGAGUUCGAGACCAGCCUGGGCAACAAAGUGAGAUCCCCGUCUCUACAAAAAUAAAAAUUAAAAAAGUAGCCGGGCGUGGUGGCGCGCACCUGCAGUUCCAGCUACUCAGGAAGCUGAGGCGGAGGAGUGCUUGAGCCCAGGAGGUGCAGGCUGCAGUGAUCUCUGAUCACACCACUGCACUCCAACCUGGUCUGCAGCAAGACCCUGUCUCAAAAAAGAAAAAGUAAAUACUUCAACCUUGCAAGGGUUUUGAGCAUUCUUAUGGGCUGUUUUUCUACCCAAUCUUUCCUCCCAUAGCCCAAAUUGUCAUAAUAUUCAAUAAUGAUGAUCCCAGAACUUUGGGAGGCUAAGGUGGGAGGAUCCCUCAAGCCGAGGAGUUUGAGACCAGCCUGGGCAACAUGGUGAGACCCCAUCUCUACAAAAAAAAUUUUUUAAAUUAUCCAGUUGUGGUGGUACGCGACAGUAGUCCCAGUUACUCGGGAGGCUGAGGCAGGAG
rnacentral:lncRNA from 1 species